rnacentral:rRNA from 1 species
UCCGUAGGUGAACCUGCGGAAGGAUCAUUACAGAAAGUAAACGCGGAUCAAACCGCGAACUUCUAAACCUUUGACGAUUGACUCAUGUUGCCUCGGCGGGUUCUCCCGCCAGAGGAUACGUCAAAACUCCUGUUUUAACGGUGUUGUCUGAGCUACAAGCAACGAAUCAAAACUUUCAACAACGGAUCUCUUGGUUCUGGCAUCGAUGAAGAACGCAGCGAAGUGCGAUAAGUAGUGUGAAUUGCAGAAUUCAGUGAAUCAUCGAAUCUUUGAACGCACAUUGCGCCCCUUGGUAUCCCGAGGGGCAUGCCUGUUCGAGCGUCAUUUUACCACUCAAGCCUGGCUUGGUGUUGGGCGACGUCCCCUUUGGGGACGCGCCUCGAAACGCUCGGCGGCGUGGCACCGGCUUUAAGCGUAGCAGAAUCUUUCGCUUCAAAAGUCGGGGCCCCGUCUGCCGGAAGACCUACUCGCAAGGUUGACCUCGGAUCAGGCAGGGAUACCCGCUGAACUUAAGCAUAUCAAUAAGCGGAGGA